AGAGGAGGGGUGGGGUGCAGCGGGGCGGGGUGGGCAGGCGCCCCGUUUUAAGUUUUUGUAGCGCCAAGGAGAGAUGUGUGCAGUGAAGGCUGCUAUGUCAGCGAAAUGCGUCUGCGGCCUCCAGGACCUGCCUCUCCUUCUGAGCCGAGGCAGGAAGCCCAGCGGAUUCCAGCCCAAGUGCGUCCGACCCAUGAAAACAGCAGCCUGCCAACGGGCGGCAGAACCAGCAGGCUAACUGAAGAGGUCACAGCAUUUAGUGUCACAUUUUCCCCAGUUUCACAGUGAGGAGACACUUCGAUGGGCAGUGCAGGGCUGCGGCUGGACGGAGAGAAUUCGCUUCUACCAAAAAAAACAAAAAAAACUUCACUGUGGUCUCCUACCUUUAUGCGGAUAAUCGUCCAGAUUUACAGAGAAGGAAUGUGACGUGCAGCCUCUUACAGAACAUCUGAUACUACCUCUUAAACACGCUUUAAACACCCUGCCCCUUUCUUACUCAUCUUGGAAAAGUUGUGUUUUUUCAUCAAGGUCAAUUACUUACUGGCGAUUAGUGUUGAAAGUAAAUACCGUGCUGUAAUACCAGUGUACUUUCUCAGGAUGUGACUAGGAAUUUCGCAUGCUGUUAAAUAUGUUUAAUACAACAUCACAAUCAGGGCAGUGCUGAGAAACAAAGAUGUGUUACGUGUUUCUGGGAAGCCAGAUGGAAGUGAGAGAGUGUAAAAAAAAAUCAGCUGCUUCCAAUAAACUCAUUUUUUUCUUUCUUAUGGACAGUUUUUCAUCCGUGAUGUCUGCACUCAAGGGGCUUGAUCUUACAACAUUAGAGCUUCUGCAAAGUGUCUUUUUUUCCCAGAAUGCAGCAUGGAAUGCACUGUACUUCCUGUUCCAAGCCACAACACCGAGGUUCUGUCUGAAAAGGGGGAGAUUGAGGGUCCGCGGAAGAUGAUGAUGUCACCAGCGAAGACGGCAGGCUGCUGCUAGAGAGGAGUUAGAAUUUGAGAAGAAUACUUUAGAUCUGAAGUACACAGAGGUGGAGACCUGUUUGGAACCACAGCAAGUCCUUUACCCUGAAGUUCAGAAUGACCACAUGCCUUUUGGUCCCCUGCCAGAAUCUGUAGCAAACAGGAAAG